GGGAGCUGUUCGUUUAUCUUCCACCGCUCCUCUUUGUGCCUUGCUGGCACCGACCCCAUAAGGAGGGAAAAGGGAGAAGCACAAAAGCAGCAGGUUGUUUAUCCUACUGAAUAAACUAAAUGCAGGUCUCUGAGGGAUCUUAUGCAAACCACUUACCUUGAAACACAACCCCACGGGAAAGUGAGCUACGGAGAGAGGCAUAGUUAAUGUUUUACAUCUUCAAAGCAGCAUCCAAGUGCCUGGCUCAGCACCAGCUACCAUCAGGUAUCAUGGAAGGCCUUCCAAAUACAUCCUCAAUGAGUUUUCCUAGGUCCCAGAAUAAAGCAGAGAAUGUG